AUGAGCCGAAAGCUUUUCCUCAGGAUUGUGAAUUCCAUCCGGGAGUUCGACGGCUACUUCAAGUGCAAGAAGGAUUGCACCGGCAAACUUGGAUUCACCUCAAUCCAGAAGUACACGACAUUUGUGAGGAUGCUUGCAUACGGAGCUCCCGGUGAUUCACUCGACGACUACAGGCGCAUGGCCGAGUCCACGACCAUUGAGUGUUUCUACAAGUUCUGCAGGGCAGUGGUGGCACUGUUUGGACCGCAAUACUUGCGAUCACCCAAUGCUGAAGGCACUGCUCGGAUCCUAGCACAGAAUGCAGUAAGAGGAUUUCCUGGGAUGCUUGGAAGCAUCGACUGCUUGCAUUGGAAAUGGAAGAACUGUCCAUUUGCUUGGCAGGUGAUGUACAAAGGCGCCAAAGGCGGUUGCAGUGUGGUACUUGAGGCGGUGGCCACACAGAACCUCCGGAUUUGGCACUCCUUCUUUGGUAUGCCAGGAACUCACAAUGACAUCAACGUGCUGCAGUGUUCCCUUGUCUUUGCCAAGCUUGUUGAAGGUCAUGCUCCUCCGGUGAACUUCGAGGUCAAUGGCCGGCACUAUAACAAGGGGUACUACCUAGCUGAUGGCAUCUAUCCGAGAUGGUCUACGUUUGUGAAUACUAUCUCAAACGAUGUGCCAGGAGGCAAGAAAUCCCACUUUGCGAAGGUUCAGGAGGCUUGCAGGAAGGAUGUCGAGCGGGCAUUUGGUGUGCUCCAAUCUCGAUUUGCUGUUGUCCGGUACCCCGCUCAGACCUGGUCGAAUGAUCAAAUGUGGGAGAUCAUGACUUGA
rnacentral:rRNA from 1 species